rfam:Sphingobium baderi LL03 contig050, whole genome shotgun sequence.
CUGAAAAAAUGGCAAACCGCCGGUGACGGCGGGACGCAAAACCUCCGGUCUCCCAGGGAGAUAGCGGGGUUGCUGAA